UAAUACGGAGGGUGCAAGCGUUGCUCGGAAUCACUGGGCGUAAAGAGCGUGUAGGCGGUUUCGUAUGUCUGACGUGAAAGCCCCGGGCUCACCCCGGGAAGUGCGUUGGAAACUGCGAGACUAGAGUCCCGGAGAGGAAGGUGGAAUUCCAGGUGUAGCGGUGAAAUGCGUAGAUAUCUGGAAGAACACCGGUGGCGAAGGCGGCCUUCUGGACGGUGACUGACGCUGAGACGCGAAAGCGUGGGGAGCAAACAGGAUUAGAUACCCUGGUAGUCCACGCCAUAAACGAUGGGAACUAGGUGUCGCGGGUAUUGACCCCUGCGGUGCCGCAGCUAACGCAUUAAGUUCCCCGCCUGGGGACUACGGCCGCAAGGUUA
rnacentral:rRNA from 1 species